CCUACGGGUGGCAGCAGUCGGGAAUAUUGCGCAAUGGAGGAAACUCUGACGCAGGGAUGCCGCGUAGAGGAAGAAGGUUUUCGGAGUGGAAACGAUUGUCGGUAGGGAAGAGAAAAGACGGUACCUAAGGAGGAAGCCCCGGCUAACUAUGUGCCAGCAGCCGCGGUAAUACAUAGGGGGCAAGCGUUAUCCGGAAUUAUGGGGUGUAAAGGGUGCGUAGACGGUAGAACAAGUUGGUUGUGAAAUCCCUCGGCUCAACUGAGGAACUGCAACCCAAACUAUUCUCCUUGAGUGUCGGAGAGGAAAGUGGAAUUCCUAGUGUAGCGGUGAAAUGCGUAGAUAUUAGGAGGAACACCAGUGGCGAAGGCGACUUUCUGGACGAUAACUGACGUUGAGGCACGAAAGUGUGGGGAGCAAACAGGAUUAGAUACCCUAGUAGUC
rnacentral:rRNA from 1 species